rnacentral:lncRNA from 1 species
GGAUCACAGAGUAAGAUAAAAAGUUACACAGGGAAACCUAGCCCAGGUUGUUUAUCUUCCUGUGGUUUUCUAGCCACUAAACAUACUUUGUCUUUUCUGAAAACUGUUAGUGGUAUCAGUGGGGCACUGGUCAAAAANAAAAAAAAAAAAAGGAAAAAAGCCACUCCACCAUUUAAAGCUCUUCAUUUCUCUAUGCUUUCAGUACUAGCUAAAAAGCAAAAACCUCAAGUACCUGUACUUAGUAAGACUUCGGUAUCAGACAUCUUACAGUAUAGCAUAGUCCAUACAUGCUACACUAGGUAUAUGCUUGCUCAUUACUGCCUCAAGGAGCUUUUCUUUUGAGCAAAGCCCGUGUUCUCUUCUUCUUACUAGAACGGUAGCAUCAUGGGUGAUGUGUAAAAACCUCUCCCCAAAUCACAAAUAUGUUAAAUAGUAAUUAUUUCUGAAAGUGGUAAAAAAAAAAAAAAGAGAAAACUAAUUCUGGUUAAAUACUGAGAGGUGUAAAACGGAUCAGAUUAAAAAGCUCAAUUAGACAUACAGAAAAUACUAAGGGAUGCUUAAGGUGGUCUACAAACCAAACAUUUCAGAACCUGAACAUCUGGCAGAUGGGGUGAGUGCUGACUUGUUAGGCUUACUUUUCAUGUGACAGCCUACAAGACUUUGUUUUUGGAAUGUUGUGUUUUUAUUCUUGGAUAAUAAAUUAGUUCUCAAAAAAGCUACAGGAUUCUCUCUAUGCUCUAUAGCAUAUACUACACUAAUUCAGAGAUUAAAAUCUACAUUUGAAAGAUGAGGUCAUGCUGCAUGAAACUUAAGGCACGUGUAUUAAACCAAGUUGAAGUGCUUUAUGUAUCCCAGCUCAUUGCUGCACCUCAACCUGAACUUGGUCUUUUAAAAGACUUGGUCUUUUUAAUGUGCCUGCAGCAAUAAAGUAGCCUGUCCUUAGUUGAAGAAAGUAAGUUGACAAAACAAAUAACACAGACCAGGCUCUAACAAACAUAGAAAAAGUUAGUAAAAAGUCCUGUAGAAAAAUUGUAGAAACAACUUAAAUCCUGCCACAAAGCAGGUGCAAGUUGCUUCGUGGCCAUAAAUAACAAUUUCUGUUGUAGAAGGAAAAAUUCUCCCCGUGGAAAGGUCACCUGUGAACCACUACUAACUACUGUCAGGUCCUUUUCUCACCAAUGACAACUGGAAUAUACAAUCUAUCUCAAACAGUGCAAGGCUGCAACCUUUGGCUCUUGCGUAACAGAAUGAAACUUAGGCAGUGCCAAGACUGACAGGCUGCACUUCUACCAAACCAUCCACAGCGCCUUCUGAAUUAUAGCUGAGUUGUUGAGUUGCUUCUUUAGUGAGAGAGUGUUACUUUGGUAGAAGGGCACUGCAUCAUGUAGUAGGAAUGUAACUUAGCUAAUUACAGCUUCUAAACAUGUGAGGUUGUUUUCUGAAAAAUACGGAUGAAGAAUGUGAGAAGAGACUUCUGUCACAGGCUUCUAGUAGUAUUUCUUGACUGGAGGCUUGUAAGACACCAGGAGACCGAAGGAAGCAUACCCAAAUAGAAGUGUCUGAAUGAACCAGUGGAACUGAACUGCUGGGUCAGUGAUGCCUUUAGAUCUGGAACAUUAACAAAAGCAUAAGAUGUAUCAGAAAGCUUAGUCUUGCAGACUACCCUGUGAUAAUUAAAAAGGUACUUCUGCCUAACCUUGAUGCUUCAGACUUGGUUAGAACACUUAAUCUCAGAUUUGUUUCCAACUGAAGCUUAUUUCCUAAAAGACAGCACUGGUUCUUAGGAUUUUGGUGCAUUAUAAGCUGUCAACAGAACAAACUUUUUUGUGCAUGCAACUUCUUCAGCAAUACAUAACCUGCAACUUCAGUCUGUGCUGUUUCAAGUGACAAGCUUACACAACUCAAGGAUCAAUAAAUAAGACAAGCUUACUACGAAUCUUCCUUUGCUCUUCACCUCAAGUCUGCGUGUACCUUCUUGCUGACUACAGACUCUGAAGGUAGUCUGUACACUAGCAAGGCAAAGCAGCCUGACAAUUGCUCAGGUGUGACUGUGCAAUACAGGAUGGCAGAGCGCUGCUGCCUGAAUUUGUGGCUAGAAAAAGAAAGCAGAGGGGGCUCAAGAUGCUUGACUUGAUUUAUGUCAAUUAGUUUUAAAUUAGCAUAUGCAAAUCUUUUGUUUGUUACAGAAAGAGGUCUAGUAAUGCUAUUAAGAACCUGUCUGCAAGCUGACUUAGGCUCCAGUAAGUACAUUAGCGAUGUGAAGCAAUAGUAACUUCAGCCCACAGUACCAAUACUGUCAUGCUUUUUACCUCUUAAAAACUGAAUCACAUUCACCUUAGUAAAGAUAAUUGUCUUUCUUAGCAGUGUCACACCGCUUCUUGCAUUCUGGUGUUGUUGGGAAAUACUUUCAGAGAAGCAAAAACAUGAAAGCUGAAACAACUGCCUUCAUGUUUCUAGAGAAUUAUGUUAACCAUAAGCAUACUU